UGAAUAGGCCAGUUCAGUCUUCCAACAUGCUACCCCUCCUAAACUUAAAGAUUCAGAUACCCCUAUCAUCUCUUGUGUCAUAGGGAACCUACACAUUGAGAAAGCAUUGUUAGAUUUAGAUGCGAGUGUGAACCUUCUCCCGAGCUCUGUGUAUGAUCUAUUUAGACUUGGAGAAUUGAAGCCCAUGAUGGUAACCUAACAAUUAGCA
rnacentral:lncRNA from 1 species